AGCUGGUACCUGGGAUCGGGCAGGACGGUCCUCUUGCUGGCGCGGGCGGCCGGAGUCGCCUUGCUCUUCUCCAUGGCCAUCAGGUAACUGGCAUCUGCCAGCACAGCCUCCGGGUCCGCCACGUUGGCGAGUUUUGGCGGCGGCGGCGGUUACUCGGACCCGGAUGGGACGCGCUGCCGCCACCGCCGCCGCCGCCGCCAGCUGAGCCCCGACCUGGUGGGACUGGGGCAGCCCCAGGGCAGCCCCUGCUCGGCGCGCCCCACCAGCGCCCUGCAAGCGCCGCAGGCUGUAGCCCGCCGGGGUCGCAGUGCGCCUUCCGCUCCGCCGCCUCGCGCGCCGCCCCCCAGCUCAUUCCGCGAGGGUCUGCGGGGAGCUCGCGGCCCGACGGUCGGUGCACCUCAGCGCACAGUCCCAGCGGCCAGGCUUGUCCCGCGCCUCUCGACCAAGUCUCUACGGUAGCCCUCCCUCCCUUCGGGGUGGCCACAAGGGACUCCUCCUCCUCCUCUUCUUCCUCCCCCACCUCUCCUUCGGCCUCCGCCUACUCCUUCUCCUCCUCGUUCGCUGCUCCGACCUCCUGCCCCCAGCUCCAUGCGUUCUCAUGCCCGCCCAGCUCAUCCAGAGAAGCCCUGGGCCCCGUGCCCACUACUCAAGGGGCAUCGGGGAGGCCUCUGCUACCUGGACACAGUAGUUCUCAAACGGGACAGCAUCAAUCAGCAUCCUCCAGGAGGUCUGGGAUGACCCCGGAAAUGCAUGUGUCCCACCUGUCCCCGCAGGUAAUGAUGAAGCCCCUGCUCUGGUCCAAGCUACCUGUGAACAGCGCCCAGCGGGCCGGGCCCCCAACCUCGCUCCUGAACGUACCCGCAAGCCCGCCGUGAGAAUUCAGCGAAGAGUAAAGGCUGGAGAAAGUUGCGUGUCUCAGGCUAAGCAGAGCAAAGUGGGGUGAGGGCUUCGCCGCUAGGAACAGAGAUGCCCUUAGGGAGCCCCCUGAUGGAAGAGCUCUCUGCUUAAGAAGGUCAGCACGCCCUUACACUCAGGAGAUGUUGCUGAGAUGGGUGCAUUAAAGUUUAGGCUUUCCAGAGUUUAUAUUGCUAACGACUUGAAAGGAAAAAAGCUAACUAGAGAACUGACUGGUCUUAUUUGUUUUAGAUUUCGGGCUUUACUAAGACUUCCUACACUCAAUCUCUGGACUGUAAAUGCUGGG
rnacentral:lncRNA from 10 species